CGCCGGUGCCCCGGCCCCGCGCCUCAGCCACCGGCCCGCAGUCCGUCCCCUCCCGCUCCGCCGGGAGAGGAGGAUGGGGCUGGAAGCACUGUCGCCAAGGAUGCUCCUGUGCCUGCUGGCCUUGGGCACUGUUUUCUGCGGGGAGCUGUGGGUCUGCGCUGGCCUCGAUUAUGACUACACUUUUGAGGGGAAUGAAGAGGAGAAGGCGGAGACUAUCGAUUACAAAGACCCGUGCAAAGCCACUGUAUUUUGGGGUGAUAUUGCCUUAGAUGAUGAAGACUUAAAUAUCUUUCAAAUAGAUAGGACAAUUGACCUGACCCAGAAUCCCUUUGGACAACUUGGACAUACCACAGGUAUGACUCCUUAUUUGGAUACAUCUGUGUUCAUUUUGGAGAAAAUGUACACUUGAAAUGAUAAAAAAUACUCUGAAUCAUUUUUAAUGUCCCACCAGUCAACAUUGAUUUCUUGAACAGAAAUGU
rnacentral:lncRNA from 1 species